AGAUAUGAUGAUACUUGGAAUAGGAAGUGCCAUCAGAUGCGAUAACUGGCGAUAAUGUUCCAAACUGAUU